rnacentral:rRNA from 1 species
AUUGAACGCUGGCGGAAUGCUUUACACAUGCAAGUCGAACGGCAGCACGGGGGCAACCCUGGUGGCGAGUGGCGAACGGGUGAGUAAUACAUCGGAACGUGCCCAGUCGUGGGGGAGUAACGCAGCGAAAGCUGUGCUAAUACCGCAUACGAUCUACGGAUGAAAGCGGGGGAUCGCAAGACCUCGCGCGAUUGGAGCGGCCGAUGGCAGAUUAGGUAGNGGUUGGGGUAAAGGCUCACCAAGCCAUCGAUCUGUAGCUGGUCUGAGAGGACGACCAGCCACACUGGGACUGAGGCACGGCCCAGACUCCUACGGGAGGCAGCAGUGGGGAAUUUUGGACAAUGGGCGCAAGCCUGAUCCAGCCA